UGGGGAAUAUUGGACAAUGGGCGAAAGCCUGAUCCAGCCAUGCCGCGUGUGUGAAGAAGGUCUUCGGAUUGUAAAGCACUUUAAGUUGGGAGGAAGGGCAGUAAAUUAAUACUUUGCUGUUUUGACGUUACCGACAGAAUAAGCACCGGCUAACUCUGUGCCAGCAGCCGCGGUAAUACAGAGGGUGCAAGCGUUAAUCGGAAUUACUGGGCGUAAAGCGCGCGUAGGUGGUUCGUUAAGUUGGAUGUGAAAUCCCCGGGCUCAACCUGGGAACUGCAUUCAAAACUGACGAGCUAGAGUAUGGUAGAGGGUGGUGGAAUUUCCUGUGUAGCGGUGAAAUGCGUAGAUAUAGGAAGGAACACCAGUGGCGAAGGCGACCACCUGGACUGAUACUGACACUGAGGUGCGAAAGCGUGGGGAGCAAAACAGGAUUAGAUA
rnacentral:rRNA from 1 species